rnacentral:rRNA from 1 species
AUAAUGGGUCAGCGACUUAUAUUCUGUAGCAAGGUUAACCGAAUAGGGGAGCCGAAGGGAAACCGAGUCUUAACUGGGCGUUAAGUUGCAGGGUAUAGACCCGAAACCCGGUGAUCUAGCCAUGGGCAGGUUGAAGGUUGGGUAACACUAACUGGAGGACCGAACCGACUAAUGUUGAAAAAUUAGCGGAUGACUUGUGGCUGGGGGUGAAAGGCCAAUCAAACCGGGAGAUAGCUGGUUCUCCCCGAAAGCUAUUUAGGUAGCGCCUCGUGAAUUCAUCUCCGGGGGUAGAGCACUGUUUCGGCAAGGGGGUCAUCCCGACUUACCAACCCGAUGCAAACUGCGAAUACCGGAGAAUGUUAUCACGGGAGACACACG